UACGUAGGGAGCAAGCGUUGUCCGGAAUCAUUGGGCGUAAAGCGCGCGUAGGUGGCUUCGUAAGUCCGUUGUGAAAGCAAAGGCUCAACCUUUGAAAGCCGAUGGAUACUGUGGAGCUAGAGUACGGAAGAGGCGAGUGGAAUUCCUGGUGUAGCGGUGGAGUGCGCAGAUAUCAGGAGGAACACCAACGGCGAAAGCACUCUGCUGGGCCGACACUGACACUGAGAGACGAAAGCUAGGGGAGCGAAUGGG
rnacentral:rRNA from 1 species